GGACCCGCACAAGCAGUGGAGCAUGUGGUUUAAUUCGACGCAACGCGAAGAACCUUACCAGCGUUUGACAUGGGAAGUGCCGGUUACAGAAUGGUAACCUUCAGUUCGGCUGGCUUCCACACAGGUGCUGCAUGGCUGUCGUCAGCUCGUGUCGUGAGAUGUUGGUUAAGUCCCGCAACGAGCGCAACCCUUAUCGUUAGUUACUAACAGUUCGGCUGAGGACUCUAGCGAAACUGCCGGUGAUAAAGCCCGGAGGAAAGGUGGGGGAUGACGUCAAGUCCUCAUGGCCCUUACACGCUGGGCUACACACGUGCUACAAUGGUAACUACAACGGGACGCAAUACCGCGAGGUGGAG
rnacentral:rRNA from 1 species